rnacentral:rRNA from 1 species
AUUGAACGCUGGCGGCAGGCCUAACACAUGCAAGUCGAGCGGAUGAAGAGAGCUUGCUCUCUGAUUCAGCGGCGGACGGGUGAGUAAUGCCUAGGAAUCUGCCUGGUAGUGGGGGACAACGUUUCGAAAGGAACGCUAAUACCGCAUACGUCCUACGGGAGAAAGCAGGGGACCUUCGGGCCUUGCGCUAUCAGAUGAGCCUAGGUCGGAUUAGCUAGUAGGUGAGGUAAAGGCUCACCUAGGCGACGAUCCGUAACUGGUCUGAGAGGAUGAUCAGUCACACUGGAACUGAGACACGGUCCAGACUCCUACGGGAGGCAGCAGUGGGGAAUAUUGGACAAUGGGCGAAAGCCUGAUCCAGCCAUGCCGCGUGUGUGAAGAAGGUCUUCGGAUUGUAAAGCACUUUAAGUUGGGAGGAAGGGCAGUAAGUUAAUACCUUGCUGUUUUGACGUUACCAACAGAAUAAGCACCGGCUAACUACGUGCCAGCAGCCGCGGUAACAC